AGCCUGAUGACCAUAGCGAGGUGGUCCCACUCCUUCCCAUCCCGAACAGGAAAGUGAAACGCCUUUGCGCCGAUGAUAGUGCGGGUUCCCGUGUGAAAGUAGGACAUCGUCAGGCUAU
rnacentral:rRNA from 2 species